rnacentral:lncRNA from 1 species
GCUUCGAUUCACUGUUGUUGUUUUUCCUUUUUUUUUAGGCUCGUAGGUAUGGAUACCCCUCCUGUUCGCUUUGGUGUGCUCGUCGACUUGAAAGUGAAUGUGUUGGAGAGAAAAGGUUCAUGGUUCUCAUGGUUGUCUUCUCCUUUUUCUCGAUGUUCUUUGCCUUAUCUUUUUGUCGCUCGUUCCGCAUUAGUUGAGAAUUUGUCUGAUCGUGCUAAUGCAUCUCGCACUUGCAAUGAAGUACAAGCCGAAUUUGCUCAACCAUUUUCCUCUUGUUCUUAGGUGGUCCUCUUUCCUUCCCCGAGUCCAUACUUGCUGGCUAUAUAUGUAAUUUUGCUUCUCUCGCUUGUGUGAUUGACGAUCUAAAUGCGUAUUUUGCUGUUUACUUUCCUUGCUUCGUUGUGGUUAUCUCCAUCAAAGGGGAGUUAUCUUUAGUUUUUGGGAGUUUCGAUAUCUUUUCGCUGAAAAAUCGUAUCUUGUUUUUUCAUUGAUCAGAUCGAGUUUGGAAAAGGAGAGUAAAAUUUUCUCAUGUCGUUGCAUCAGAGUGAAGAAUGUGAUAGUGUUAAAGUUUUUAGUAAUUUCAAAUCCCACGCUUUAAACUCACAAUUAGUUCAUGGUCUCCGGCUAAUAGUUCAAAUCAAGCAGAAAUGGAGGUUAAGGGAAGCGUAAGUUAUCGUUGGUGGAGAUGAGCACCGAAGGAGGAUUUCAAACUUCAUCGCAACAAGAAACUCUUCCCCUCUGUUAGUCGUUUACACUUGCUCAAAAUGACAGCUCGAUCCUAAUGUCGGUGCCUAUGGUAGUCUCAACUUGCUUGAGAGUUCUAGACAUUUGCAGCUACAAGCUGGUAAGACCGGUACGGUGGUAAACUAGGUAGAGAUAUGGGGGACCUAAUUAUGUGUAUGAGAGGAUACUAGAGAUGUAUGUCAUGAUAUUCCUAGAGAUAUAUGUGGAGAGAUAAGAAGAGGUGUUAAUUGCAUAGUAACAAGUCCAUGUGACUAUCCACGAUUCUGGGAAGUGUCGAUAUCACUUAAAGGUAUUUGUAUAUUUAACUUUUCUCAUUCAAGUGAUUUAUCGUUUUUGGAAACGUUGAUAUAAUCAAGGUUGCCCUUAUCUUUUUUUGACUAUAUGGUUAUCAUGAGAUAAUCUGUCAUUGACAAAAUAGAAGCAUUACCUUAUCUAGCAGCGAUGCCAAGUAGUCAUUUAUAAAUUACAUCUCAUGUGAACUUUUAUUAUCUAGUGCACUAUAGAAAGUUGCUAGAUUCUAAAAAUUGUUCUCGGGAAUAAGAAACAACUUUUAUUUUACUUUUUAUUUCUGCUCCAAAUUUAUUCCCUGACCAUUUUUCUAUUUUGAGGAAUAAAAAAAUUAUUUGACGUUAUCAAAUGGAUUUCUAUUCUUUUUUGUACGGGAAAAUAAAAUAAUAGAAAUUUUAAGAAAUGAAAACAAUAAUAAAUAGACCCUAAAUGACCCUAUAGGGAAUCUUCAAAAGAUCCUUGCUUUAAUUUUCAUCAAUUGCAAAAAGAACUACAAAUGGGUUUUUCUUUUGUUUCUUUGUCAUGGUGUCACAGUUGGAUUUCAAGAAGCCUCAAAUCCACACAACAAAAUGUUAUUCUAAUUUUAAGUAUGUCGAUGCGCAAAAGAAAAACCCAUUUUCUCUUCUAACCAAUCGCUAGAGCCUCCCGUGGGCGGUGACCUUGUUGGCUCUCAUCUUUGGCUAGUCGCCGGCCAUCGCUGAGACCCAGCAACCAACUAAAGGAGGAUGAAGAAGAGAGAGAGAAAAAAAAAAGAAAAAAGAAAAAAAAUAAGGAAAAAAAAUGAGAAAAUCAUUAAAAAAAUUCAAAGAAAUUUUAUGUCACCAAAAAUUUAAGUUUAGGGCACUGAUUCUUGGGUAACUCGCGGGAACAUAACAAAGAAGAAAUUGAUAUAUUUUGGCUUAAAAUGGAGAAAUUAGAGAAAAGAAGUGGCAGUGGCAAUGAGAACAUUCCUUGCUAGUCUCCAGAUAUCGUAUAGAAAUAUUAUGCAAGGUUCCAAUUGACUCCUACACUGUUGAUGUGUUUGCAAGAUUUGGUAUUAUCCGACAAAAUCUCCCACAAAUAUUGCAUUCACUAAGAAAUCUCCCACAAAUAUUGCAUUCACUAAGCAAACAAGGUAGGCCCGUUAAAGGUUGCCUCCCUCCAAUGUUCACUAUGGUACACUGUCAUGCCCCAAACCCCGGGUACGCACACAGCCCUUGGCGGUCGAUUAAAAAUGCGACGUCCCAGGACGCAUCGCCGACUCAUUCUUUUUAUCUUUCAAUUAAGCACAUGCGAAAGUGAAUUAAAUAAACACCCGGCCAAUAAACAAACAUAGGGAUAAUGAAAACAUGCUAGUGAUUUUUCGCCAAGUACACCUUAUAUACAUAUCAAGUUAACCCUAGGAGUUUAUAUACACAAGUUUAUCUCAAAAGAAACCCCUAGGCAACCUAAACUCCACUAGCGACAGGGCCAGCCAAAAGGUGUUGCAUCAUGUGCCCACCACAUCUGCACAUGACAAAUCUUCAUGCUACGGCCUUGAAAAAAGUUAACCACGACGGGGUGAGAUAGAAUCUCAGCAAGUCAAAACCCUAAACCCUUAUUAGGACGCAAAUUCUCCUCGAAGGCGGUCUUAAACACGCACCAUACAAAACUUACAUCGCAUCGGCACAUCUCUGCAUAUUAGUGCAUCACAUAUGUCAUAAAUAUCACAAGUGUGAUUAAUAACCGGAACACAUAAUUCACACCCUUCAAACAUCUACAUGGGUCUCGAUUAUAAGGUAAAACCGUUAUGACACAUCACACACCAUACCACACAAUUUUGCCUCAUAAUCAAGCGCAAUAGCACAACCAGUCAGGCGUGUUUAAGUUAUUACGACCCAUUGGCCAUGGCCAACUCGAAAGUCGGCGGUCAUCUGGCGUAACCGGGUAUCGUCUUGCCCCAUCGGGCACGGCAUUAUCCCGUGUAUUCAUACGCAUCAGGACAUCAUUCCAUAAAGGAGUAUCGAUCCGGCCUCAAUCGCGACUCGGUAUCUGUUGAUGUGAGGCAUCCGAAUUUAAUCAGGCAUCAUUCCACAUUUUUAUACGCAUCAGGACGGGUUCAUUACCUCGCAUAAUCAUACGCAUCAGGGUAUUUAGAUGAUCACACGAGCACACCAUCAAUCAAAUCCAUUGUUAUAUUUCUUAUUAGCCAAACACCAAAAUCCCUUUUUAAAUAAUAAACCUUGUAACUUUUUUUUUUUUAUUCAAAACUUUCUGAAAUAAAUUCGUACAUGGUUACGUACUCAAAAUCAAUCUAUUAAACUUUGCACACUUCUACUAUAAAACCUUCUUAUUUUAUUGAGCACAUAAAAUUUGGCAUCCAAACCUAACACUUUAUUUAUUUUCUAUUUUCUUUUCCAACCACCCUUUUUGAAAUUAAACAUGGGUAAUCCCUUUUAACUUUUGGAAAGAAAUUCAUAGGUGCCGACGUACUCAAAAUUAACCCGUCAAAAUUUGCACGCACCUAGUUUAAAACCUCAUUGUUUUGUUGAGCAAAUAAAUUUUGGUGUCCAAACCUGACACCUCAUUAUUUUUCCAUUUAAAAGCUUCAAGCCAUUUUUGACAUAAAAAUCGGAACAAACAUAGAGCAUCCAAUCUCAUAACAUCAUGCAUAAGUUCUCAGCAUGCAAAAAAUCAACUAAGUCACAAAAUAUACAUUUUCCAGCAAGUAAGACACUAAGAACAAUCACAAGACCACAACCGGCCCUUACCGGCAGAAACCAUGUCCACUUGCACGUCUCCAAGAUUAAUUCCAUAAAUAUAACAAAAAAAAUUCAGAAAAUUUUCAAAUUUAAAUAUGUUAUAAAGGACACUUAAAAGAACACUUUUCAUGAAGACACCUUGACCCAGAUAUUCCUAAAAUAAGAGCAGUAAAUCGCUCAAACUGUUACCAAAACUGUAUCCAUGUCCAGAAAUUAUGUUUUCCAAAACCAGCUUGGUUUGAGGUCUAAAACUUUUCCGUUUGCUUUGAAAUUUGAUUAUGUUAAACGUCAAGACAUGAUGAAAAUUUUUUGUGAAGAAAAUAUUUCUAAAAUCGAAUCCUAAAAGUUGAUAAAAAUCCUUUGAACACCAAAAGAUCACUGGUUCCAGCAUAAACUGAAAUUCUGCUUUGCAUGAAACGAAACUGAAAUCUUAUUCUUUUCAAUCUAUAAAAUCUUGACUAAAAUAUAUGUCAUACAUGAAGAUAUUUAGAACAUUUUUCAAGAACGAAGUAACCUUAAAAUCAUAGCACAUUUUAACCCAAGAAAUUAGCAAAUAGAGAGUGUCCAAUAAACAUAUCUUAAGAUUAAGUUAAUCCAUCUUAAUACUAAUCUAACUAAGCUAAUUAAUACUAAUAUAACUCCCUAACCGUAAUUAACAAAUUAAUCAAUGAUUAGGGAGUUAACUCACUGGAUUAAGACGGCGGUGGGCUCACGGUGAUGGCAACGCAACAGCAGUAAAAACCUGAGACUAUCACGUCUCCGACGAAGGCUCGGCAAAGGCUGAGGUCAGCCCUACAAGUCUCGACCAAGGAGGGAGGUUCUGUGGAGCUGCUGGUCGGUCUGGAUAGUAGUGGCUGUGGUGGCGAAGCUGGACGAGCGGCUGUUGUUGGUGGUGGUGGUGGCGCUGUGGAGAUGGGUGGACGGAGCUGGGCUGGUUGGUGGGACGUUGGAGGUGGUGCGGCUGCUGGUGUUGACUAGCUUGAGGAGGGCGGUUGUGGACGCUAGGCUAGCGGUGGCGUGAAGUGUGAAUGAAGAUGCUGUUGCGAUGAAGAGGGGUGAUGGUCAGGCGGUAAAAAGGGAGAAUGGAGGCUGCGGCAGUAAAAAAAAGAAAGGGGCUGGGUAGUUCAGAGGAGAGAUGGAGAAGGAAGAUCACGUGAAGAAGAAGAGAGGAGAUUAGAGGAGGAGGGUGGUUCGGCUGAGGGGGAAGGAACGUGCGCAAGGGAGAGAAAUUGAAGAGAGCUAGUCUCUCAAGGCCAUAGCCAAUGAGAGACUAGCUCAAAAUAUCCAAACACUCAUGACAAGAGCCCAAAGUCUUCAUCCAAAUAAGUCAAUUGGCCAACUAAUGGAGAAUUAGCUAUAAUUUCCCUAAAUAAGCCAAAUUAGGGGUAGAAAUAACCCAUUUCUUCAACCAUCCGAAUUUCCAUUUAUUUUUCUUUUUGCUGAAAAUCUCUUUUUCUGCAAAAUUCCAAACUCAACGAAAAUUCGCUGAAAGAUGAGACAAUGUUCUAAAAAUGAAUCGAGACACACUCAAACGUUCGAUUCCCAAAACUGAAUUCAAUUUCGUGGUUAAAAUCGAACAAACGCGAUUUUAGUACGACCUAACCUAUCGGGUAGUUUUUAGGGAUUUUAACGUGUUUGACCCAUGGUUGAUAAUUUUUGAUUCACGUUUAUGCAUCUUCGUUUCAUAGACGACUCUCGGUUAUCAUAAAAGCGCGAGGUUUCAACUACGUGUCCCGAAUAUAAUAUCGGUAGAAAAUCGGGUUAUUGCCAUUCGACGUAAAUAUCGCAAUCGUGCGGAACCAUAUGCAAUUCCAUCAAAUAGACUUAUACCCGUUUGCAAAUCGAUUUAUAACAGUGUCGUAUUGACCCUUGCCGAUUAUUAUGGUCAAGCGGUUGGUUUCUGAUCGAAUUCUAUUCACUUGAAAACUUUAUUUAUACUAAGGGUGUAUUUGUUUUGCGGACACUCAAAGAUAUAAGAAAAUGCUUUCUAGUAAAAUAUUUUUUAGAAAUACGUUAAUUUUUCUUUGUUUGGUGAGAUAUGAUCGAUAUGUUUUUUGUUGUUUGCAUAUUAUUAGAAAAUGAUUCAAUUUCUUGACUUUAUUUCGCCUAAAAAAAGUUGAAAUUUACAAAAUUUUUAAAAAUGAUCUUUUAAUUAUUUUUUAAAUUUCUUUUUUUUUUCCUUUUCUUUCCUCUUCUUUUUCUCCCUUCCUCCGCCACUACCGGCUAGCAACGACCAUAGACCGGGCAAGCCAUGAGCUCGCCAGUCUUGAUCAAGCUCGAGUUUGCCUAGAUCUGUCAAGCCGUGAACUUGCCAACCUCGACAAAGCUCAGGUUAGCAAGCUUGAGCUCGCCUGGAUUGGCUAAAUCGUGAGCUUGCCAACCUUGGUCAAGCUCGGGCUCCAUGUAUGUGACAUCCCUAAAAUUGGUCCCUAAUUUGAAUAUAUGAAAUAGUUGUUUCGUCGACGCGCUUAUGGUUAAUUUACUCGGAACUGAUCACUCAUGAGUUAACUAAUCUAUUAGGUGAGGCCGUUAAGAGAUAUAGACGCGACAGAAUAAUAUUUUCUUGUCCAUACAAAUGGAAUAGUUGAACAUGGCCUUGAUGAUGACCAUGAUACCUCCACACACACACAUGACAAAUACGAGUAUUGAUAUCGUGGUAGCAUUUUGAGUAACUCCUCGAUCUGGAGCUCUAAUUGAGAAAGCAAGGAUUGUGGUAAAAUAGUACUGUCAAAUGGGUAGGUCAGGUCAAAAAUGGUUUAAUCCAAAUCGACCCAUUUAACCUGUCUUAAUCCAUUUAUAUGCAAUACUAAUUUAACGACUCAUACCUAACCCAACCAAUAUUAGCAAAACACAUGGAUAUUUGAAAACGAUAACUUUUAUGCUAUGCGUGUAGUGUGUAAAAUAUUUUUAAAAAAUUAGUAGUUUUAUGAGGUUCCAAAAAAGUUUAGCUACUUUUUCUUUAUUACAAUUUUUUUGUUUUAUAGUUAAGUAUCCAACAUCUCUUUAAAUCAAUAAGUCAAUAAAUAUUGACAUUUAUAAUCACAUAUUAAUUUUUAAGAUUUUUUUAAAGCAAGAGCGAUAGUAAUUUUUUUUUUAUUUUUCAAUUUAGAAAAAAGAAGAAGAUCAUAAGUAGAAGAUAAAACUAUAAUACGAGUUGCCCGGCCCGAAAACCCCAACUUGACCCUAAAGACAAGUGAAGAAGGACUGCAAAUGGAUUGAGCUUUAGACCCAUUAAAAAUCCAUAUUUUAUUAAACUUUAUUACUCAAACACUUAUCAACCUGAUUAUCAAGAUUUAGCCAAUCCAUGCAUGACCCAACUCAUCAUAUAUGAGUUAAUAAAUGGGUCUUCAACCCAUUUUGACACAUUUACUGCUAAAUUUUGUAUUGCUACAUGGAACUUUUACUAUGUUGUUUUGAGAUGUCUAUUCCUAUAAUUGAUGGGUGUUAGUUUUAGUUAGAGAAUCUAAAAUGAUAUAUUUAAAUGGGAAAAUGGCACUAAUGGUCCUUCAACUUUGGUUCAAAAUGCAAUGUCGUUUAAUUUAUAUUAUAUGACCAUUGGACUUUGGUUUAAUUUGCAAUCUCGUCCAUGAAUUUUUUAUUUAUUCAAUGCCAUCCGUAAACUUUAAAACAUUUUCAUUUAAUUUAGGGAAUACAUCGACCAUUUACAAAUGGUUUAGGGAGCAUAUUGAAAAAUUAAAAAUUUUGAAACGACAUUAUACAUUGGGUUGAGACCGCAUUACAUAGAUUAAACAUUUUAGUAGUUUUAUGAGGUUCCAAAAAGUUAGCUGCCUUUUCUAUAUUACAAAAUUUUCAAGUUUUAUAAUGAAGUAUCCGACAUCUCUUAAAACCAAUAGGUCAAUCAAUAUUGACAUUUAUAAUCAUAUAUAAAUUCUCACAUUUUUAAAAGUGUGAAUGAUAAUAAAUUUUCUUACUAUUUUUCAAUUUUCAAAAGAGAAGAAAAAGAUCAUAAGUAGAGGAUUAAACUAGAAUAUAAGUUGCCCCGCUCGAAAACCCCAACCUAAACCUAAAUACAAGUGAAGAAGGACUGGGGGUGGAUUGAGCUUUAGACCCAUCAAAAACCCAUGUUCUAUUAAACUUUAUUACUCAAACACUACUGCUAAAUUUAGCUAAUUCAUUCAUGACCCUACUCAUCGUAUAUGGGUUAAUAAAUGAUUCAACCCAUUUUGACACAUCUAUUGCUAAAUUUUUUAUUGGUACAUGGAGCUUUUACUAUUGUCAUUUUCGAGAUGACUACCCCUCUAAUUGAUAGGUGUUAAUUUCGGUAGAAGAAUCUGAAAUGAUACAUUUAAACGGGAAAAUGACAGUGAUGGUGUUUUAACUUUGGUUCAAAGCACAAUAUUGUUUAAUUUAUUUAAUAUGGCUUUUGAAUUUUGGUCUAAUGUGCAGUCUUAUUCAUGAACUUUUAAUUUGUUCAACAUUAUGCAUAAACUUUUAAGCAUUUUCAUUUAAUUUAGGAACUAUAUCGACCAUUUACAAAUAGCUUAAGGAGAACAUUGAAAAAUUUAAAAUUUAGAAACAACGUUGUACAUUGGGUCAAAACUCAGAUAUCACAUCAUACAAAUUAAAAGUUCAUAGAUGAUAUUGUAUAAUAAAUCAAAAUUCAUAAAUCAUUUAUGCCAUUACCACUAUUUAAAUUUAGCUUUACACUUUUUCCAUCCUACUUUUGGCUUUUGACACCCCUGAAUAAUAAUCUAUUAAAGUGGUGGGUUGUAUCAAAAAUGUGCUUAACUAUAUUUAUGCCUUUAUUUAUUGACUUUCUAUUGUUUAAUGCAGCAAUAUCAAUGGAAGGUAAAAUAAGUGAGACAAAUGACAUAUUUUGCUUAAGGACUUUGCUAGCAUAACAAUCUUUAGGUUACUAUGAAAAUAACAACUUGUUCUGAGCCACAAAUUCUUGAGAGAAUGAGCCUCAUAACAAUUUAUAAUUAUUUAUCAUUUAAUUUUUGUGGUCUAAAAUAGACGGUUCUUCUCCCAUAGAUUAAAAACUAUCAACCAAUCAUUUCUCUUUGCUUAAAUAUAUAAGUUUGAGGUAAAUAUUUGUUAGUCUUUUCUUAUUUGUAGUUUUUAAUCUUUAUCACAAAAUCUUAAUAUGAAAAAAUGACAAAUAUAACUAAAUCCACUCCCAUUUUCUUUAUAAAGACUAUACUAUUUCCACUCCCUAUAUAACUAAAUCCACCCCCAUUUUCAUUAUAAAAACUAUAUUAUCCUCGGCUUCAUUUGCAAUCUCAAGUGGUGGCUCCAAAUUUCUUUACUUUCCUUCCUUUUUUAGUUUUAACUAUUCUACGUAGGAUCUAAUUUUCAUAAUUAAGAGUAUCACAUGCUUGUUGUUGUUUAUGGUUUUUUGUCAAAUUUGAAAUUGUUGCUAAUUAGAAAAUAAAAACUAGUCUCUUCCGCAUCAUUGCUCUUAUAACAGCUCAUCUCUCAAAAGCUUACUUUAUUGGUGACCUUUUUAUUUAUUUAUUUUUAAUUUCAUUAAUCUAAAACAUAUAUGAUAUCUCUAUAUUUACUAUAUCAAAUAAUUUGUCAUUUUUCAUUACUAUUGACGAGAUGCUUUGACAGGGAGUGUGUAAAACAUUAUAGCAGUGUUUAGAAAAACACUAAAAAUAUUGGCAUAAAAAAGUUAUGUGCAGUGAGGCAUCUUGGUAUUAUUUGUUAAACAACCCGCAAACGCCAUUCAUUUUUAUCAAUCCAAAAUAAUGAAAUUUCAAUAGUAUUUUACAAAAAAUUCUUAUUUUAUGCAAAGUUAUGAUAUAAUUAAAUUCAUUCUUUUGAAUUUUCAUGAACGGGAAUGUAACCAUGAUUUUGUCUUGGAAAAGAUUUAAGGAGGUUUUUUUUUUUUUUUUUUUUUUUGGGGUGCUUGCGUCUAAUCAUCCCAUAAAAUGUUGGGGUGUGCAUGGUCCAGGCGGGCGGUUCCCAACCUAGAACCGGGAACCGUUCACUAAGGACCGGUUCCGAAAAAUUGGAACCGGAAUCCACCAAUUAGUUGCAUGGAUCCACCCGGGAACCGGACUGUCGGUCUAGUCUGAUUCCUGAGUGGAUUCAUGGAACCGGUUUCACAAUAAAAAUAAUAUCAUUUUCUAAAUCCCACCAUGAGAACUCUUCAUAUCGAGUAAUAUACUAGAAACCAAAAGCUACAAUAAUUAUAAAUCAAAACAAAAUGUUGAAAGUGAAAGAAGGCAAAACUAAUUAUAAGUCAAGCUCCGAUCUUGACGCAAAACAACUUUGGUUUUCGACCAAAAUUGCUAGUUCUUUGCCCGACCUAUUCUUCUUCUCCUCCUCUUACAGCCUUGCUUCUUCGUGUGCUUACUUUUUGCCCACUCACUGCUCGGCGUUUUGUCAAGGACUCAAGGUUUUGUCACGAUCUUGACUUAAUCUUUUUAGUUAUUUGAUUUGGGUUUAUUAAUUAGUAAUUUCAAUUUUUUAAUAUUGAAAAUUAAUAUAUUAUUUUAAUAUAAUCGGUCUGAUUUGUAUGGGCGGGUAGACGGAUCCGCCCAUGAAACCAGAAACCGGACUGGUACCCAUCGAUUCCCAUAAAUUGGAACCAGGAACCGGACUAGUUCCCUCAAGAACCACCGGUUCCAGGCGGUUCCGGUUCAAUUCCGGGCGGUUCGGGCGAAUCCUGGUUCUUUUGUACACCCCUAAUAAAAUGUACAUGUAUAUAAAGAAAACUUAAAAAAAAAGAUUUGAUGGUGAUAAACACAACAAAAAAGUAAAAGUUUAUAAACACGUGACUGUGUUAAAAAGUUAUCUAUGUUAAAUCUUUUCUAAAUUUUAUUGGGCAAGUAAUCCAUAAAUUGGCUUGACAAUGUAAAAAAUAACCAAGUUUUUUUUUUUUGUCAGUAAUAACCAAGUUUCUUCAAAAUUUCUCUUUUGGACAAAACUAAUUUUAUGGAAGUAAAUCUAAAAAAUAAAGAGAAAACAUAAUGCAUUUGACAUAUAAGGAAUAUCCACAAUAAAAAAAAGAACAGAAUGUGUGGUAUUCUUAAUUAUGGCAGUUAAUCCUACAAAAAUAAAAGCACUAACAAAAUAAGGAAAAUAAAUAAAUUGGGCGCUACCACUUUAAAUUACAAUUAAAUAAUCAAGGUUAACUUUGUCUUUUUCACCAAAAUGGGUUGCCUGUAGUGUAAAUUCAGGGUUUUUUUAUGAUAAAAAAAAAGUUUGGGGUAUUUAUGUGACAAUGGACAACUUUAGGGUUUCUACUGAUAUUAAAAAAAAAUUAUAGGUAUUUAUGUUCUAGCAGGGAUAAUUUAGGGUUUAUUUGCCAAAGAAAAGAAGCUGAGCUCCAAGCACUUGAAGGAUCCAUUUCAACAAUCAAGCCGGCAAAGUUGAUUUCUUGACGGUAGAACUAUCCACUCCUCUCCAUCUCUUUUCGUUUAAAUUUCGUGUUGGAAUAAAAAGAUUCAUGGUUCUCACAGUCGUCUUCUCUGUUUCUCGAUGUUUUUUUUGUCUUAUCUUUCUGUCGCUCGUUCAUUGAUAUUCGUAUUAGUUGAGAUAUGUCUAAUCGUGCUGAUGCAUCUCGCACUCGCAGUGAACAGCAAUCCGGAUUUGAUCGACCAGUUUCCUCUCGUUCUUGGUGGGUCCUUGUUCCUUCCCCGAAUCCGUACUUGCUGGUAAUUACGUCUCUCUCGCUUGUGUGAUUGAUGAUCCGAAUGCAUAUUGUGUUGUUUUCUUUCGUUGCUUCGUUGUAGUCAUCUCCGUCAAAAGGGAGUUCGUCUUUUGUUCUUGAGAGUUCCGAUUUCUUUUCGCUCAUGAAAAAUCACAUCUUGUUUUUUAAUUGUUCAGACGGAGUUUAGAAAAUGAGAGCAAAAUUUUCUCAUGUCGUUGCAUCUAAGUGAAGAUGCGAUAGUAACGAGGAUUUUUGUGAUGUCAAAUCCUACGCUUUGACCUCACAAUUAGUUCAUGAUCUCCGGCUAAUAGUUCAAAUC